AAUUCUCUUUCAUUUUGUGUAAUUUGCUGUUAAACCCAUGUACUGAGUUCUUAAUUCCAAUUAUUGUCUUAUUUUUGUUUUUGUUUUUUUUUUUUUUUUU
rnacentral:lncRNA from 1 species